rnacentral:lncRNA from 1 species
CGGCGCUCAGGGGAGGCCCCGGCUCCGCCCCGGGCCUGCCCAGGGGGAGAGCGGAGCGGCCCGCAGCCGGGUCGGGUCGGGGCCCCUCCCGGGAGGAGCGUGGAGCGGCGGCGGCGGCAGUAGAAAUAAUGGAAGAAUUGCAUAGCCUGGACCCACGACGGCAGGAAUUAUUAGAGGCCAGGUUUACUGGAGUAGGUGUUAGUAAGGGACCACUUAAUAGUGAGUCUUCCAACCAGAGCUUGUGUAGCGUCAGAUCCUUGAGUGAUAAAGGAGUAGAGGUAAGAAGCUAUGUUCAUG